UUCAUCAUGCAAGGCUCACUGGUGCACAGAGCGCUGCGAGCAGGAGUGAAAAUGACGAGGAAGAUUUAAAGGACGACAUCUGCUGCUACUUGCCACACCCAUCCCAUCACAGUUAGUGGACACAGCAUAGUUUACUAUCCAAACCAGCCUCUUCCUGCUGUCCUGAAUUCACAUCAUAUCCAAUAUCCUGCCCAACUACUACUAUGGGAUAUUUAAUAAUUCAUAAGUCUAUCUGGUGUCACAUAAAAUGAAUCUCCUACAGCAUUCAACUCUGUUUGUUAUCCUCUCGGUCUGCUCUGUCUGGGCUGGAUUCAGCUCAGCAUACGUAUGGGACUCGUGAUGACAUCACAGCAGCUCAAUUGGGAGUAGCUCCCUUUGUCUAAAAUUAAAACAGGUAAAGCCUC